AGGGCGCACGGCGGAUGCCUUGGCACAUGGAGCCGAUGAAGGACGCGGCAAGCUGCGAUAAUCCGCGGUUAGGGGCACACACCCUUCGACCCGCGGGUCUCCGAAUGGGCGAACCCGCCAGGAGAAGUCCUGGCACCCUCCCGGUGAACACAUAGCCGGGAGGGGGACAACCCGGGGAACUGAAACAUCUAAGUACCCGGAGGAGAAGAAAUCAACCUCGAGAUUCCCCGAGUAGCGGCGAGCGAAAGGGGACCUAGGCCAAACCGUGGAGCGGGCGGGCGCCAGCCUUUACCGCCCACGGGGUUGUAGGGCCUCCCGCCCGGGAGCUGGCGCUCCCGGCGGGCAUCCAUCCAGGGGAGCCGAACGGCAUGGGAAGGCCGGCGGCACAGGGUUAGGGCCCCGUAGGCGCACCCUGGGAUGGAGCCCGGUGGAGGUACCUGAGUAGGGCCGGGCACGUGAAACCCGGUCCGAACCCGGGGGGACCACCCUCCAAGCCUGAAUACUCCCAUGUGACCGAUAGCGCACCAGUACCGUGAGGGAAAGGUGAAAAGCACCCCGGGAGGGGAGUGAAACAGUACCUGAAACCGUGCGCCCGCAAGGCGUCGGAGCACCUUCGCGGUGUGACGGCGUGCCUUUUGUAGAAUGAGCCAGCGAGUUGCUGGCACGCGGCGAGGUUAAGCUGGGAAGCGAGCCGGAGCGAAAGCGAGUCCGAAACGGGCGAUCCAGUCGCGUGCCGCAGACGCGAAGCCGGGUGAGCUAUCCCUGGGCAGGCUGAAGCGGGGGUAAGACCCCGUGGAGGGCCGAACGGACGUACGUUGAAAAGUGCGCCGAUGACCUGGGGAUAGGGGUGAAAGGCCUAUCAAACCCGGAGAUAUCUCGUUCUCCCCGAAAUAGCUUUAGGGCUAGCGUCGAGAGUUAACCGCCGGAGGUAGAGCACCGGAUCGAUGAGGGGGCUUCGCCGCCUACCGAUUCGAACCGAACUCCGAAUGCCGGUCGGUCCAUAUCUCGGCAGUCAGAGCAUGUGGGCUAAGCUGUGUGCUCGAGAGGGAAACAGCCCAGACCGCCCGCUAAGGCCCCCAAUUCUCAGUUAAGUGGCAAAGGAUGUGCGUCCGCGCAGACAACCAGGAGGUUGGCUUAGAAGCAGCCACCCCUUCAAAGAGUGCGUAACAGCUCACUGGUCGAGUGGACAUGCGCCGACAAUACACGGGGCUAAACUGAGAGCCGAAGCGGCGGCAAUGAUCUUUCAUUGGGUAGGGGAGCGUCCCCAGCGGGGCGAAGCCGGAGGGUCACCGACGGUGGACUGCUGGGGAGUGAGAAUGCUGGCAUGAGUAGCGAGAGACGAGAGAGUAACUCGUCCGCCGUAAACCCGAGGUUUCCUGGGCGAGGCUAAUCCUCCCAGGGUCAGUCGGGGGCUAAGCCGAGGGCGGAAGCCGUAGGCGACGCGCAGCAGGUGGACAUUCCUGCACCGGAGAUGCACCGUCACGACCGACGGGGCGACGGAUUGGGGUGGCUCGGCGGGGUUCUGGACGUCCCCGUGAUGGAGCGCGGCCCGUGGACCAGGCAAAUCCGGUCCACGCGAGGGCGAGGCUCCGGACGAAGCGACUGAGCGAAGCGAGUGAGCCCGUGGUCCCCAGAAAAACCCCUAGGCAGGGGCAUCUCCGCCCGUACCGCAAACCGACACAGGUGGGUGGGUAGAACAUACCGAGGCGAUCGGGUCAACCAUGGUCAAGGAACUCGGCAAAAUGGCCCCGUAACUUCGGGAGAAGGGGCGCCGGCGCGUACGUGGACCCACUUGCUGGGCGAGCGGAGGCCGGCCGCAGUGAAGAGGCCCAAUCGACUGUUUACCAAAAACACAGGACUCUGCAGAAGGCGAGAGCCGACGUAUAGGGUCUGACGCCUGCCCGGUGCCGGAAGGUCACGCGGAGGGGUUAGCGCGAGCGAAGCCCCGAAGCCAAGCCCCGGUAAACGGCGGCCGUAACUAUAACGGUCCUAAGGUAGCGAAAUUCCUUGUCGGGUAAGUUCCGACCUGCACGAAAGGCGCAACGAAUUGGGCGCUGUCUCGACCAUGGACCCGGUGAAAUUCCACUAGUCGUGAAGAUGCGACUUACCCGCGGAAGGACGGAAAGACCCCGUGAACCUUCACUGCAGCUUGGCAUUGGCCGCUGGCCCGUCGCGUAGAGGAUAGGCGGGAGGCUUCGAAGCCCGGGCGCCAGCCCGGGUGGAGCCGACCUUGGAAUACCGCCCUCGGCGCGCCGGCGUCCUAACCCCAUGCCGUCAUCCGGAUGGGGGACCGUGCCAGGUGGGUAGUUUGACUGGGGCGGUCGCCUCCUAAAGGGUAACGGAGGCGCGCGAAGGUCCGCUCGGGACGGUCGGCAACCGUCCUUUUGAGUGCAAGAGCGUAAGCGGGCUUGACUGCGAGGCCCACAAGCCGAGCAGGUGCGAAAGCAGGCUCUAGUGAUCCGGCGGCCCCGCGUGGGUGGGCCGUCGCUCAACGGAUAAAAGGUACUCCGGGGAUAACAGGCUGAUCUUGCCCAAGAGUCCACAUCGACGGCAAGGUUUGGCACCUCGAUGUCGGCUCAUCGCAUCCUGGGGCUGGAGCAGGUCCCAAGGGUACGGCUGUUCGCCGUUUAAAGCGGUACGCGAGCUGGGUUCAGAACGUCGUGAGACAGUUCGGUCCCUAUCCUCCGCGGGCGCAGGAGAAUCGAGGGAGGCUGCCCCUAGUACGAGAGGACCGGGGUGGACGCACCUCUGGUGAACCGGUUGUCGACCAACGGCACGGCCGGGUAGCCACGUGCGGCGCGGAUAACCGCUGAAGGCAUCUAAGCGGGAAGCCGUUCCCGAGAUCAGUUCUCCUUUUCGGUAAGGGCCCAGGUAGACUACCUGGUCGAUAGGCGGCAGGUGCAAGCGCGGCGACGCGCUCAGCCGAGCCGUACUAAUAGCCCGAGCUCUUACCC
rnacentral:rRNA from 1 species